rnacentral:rRNA from 1 species
UACGUAGGGUGCAAGCGUUUAAUCGGAAUUACUGGGCGUAAAGCGUGCGCAGGCGGUUUUGUAAGUCAGAUGUGAAAAUCCCCCGGGCUUAACCUGGGAACUGCGUUUGAAACUACAAGGCUAGAGUGUGGCAGAGGGGGGGUGGAAUUCCACGUGUAGCAGUGAAAUGCGUAGAUAUGCGGAGGAACACCGAUGGCGAAGGCAAUCCCCUGGGCCUGCACUGACGCUCAUGCACGAAAGCGUGGGGAGCAAACAGG